rnacentral:rRNA from 1 species
CCUACGGGAGGCAGCAGUAGGGAAUCUUCCACAAUGGGCGAAAGCCUGAUGGAGCAACGCCGCGUGGGUGAAGAAGGUCUUCGGAUCGUAAAACCCUGUUGUUAGAGAAGAAAGUGCGUGAGAGUAACUGUUCACGUUUCGACGGUAUCUAACCAGAAAGCCACGGCUAACUACGUGCCAGCAGCCGCGGUAAUACGUAGGUGGCAAGCGUUAUCCGGAUUUAUUGGGCGUAAAGGGAACGCAGGCGGUCUUUUAAGUCUGAUGUGAAAGGCUUCGGCUUAACCGGAGUAGUGCAUUGGAAACUGGGAGACUUGAGUGCAGAAGAGGAGAGUGGAACGCCAUGUGUAGCGGUGAAAUGCGUAGAUAGAUGGAAGAACACCAGUGGCGAAAGCGGCUCUCUGGUCUGUAACUGACGCUGAGGUUCGAAAGCGUGGGUAGCAAACAGGAUUAGAUACCCUGGUAGUC